ACACUCAUGGUUCUUUUCAGAUCGCAUAAAUCUUUCGCCUUUUACUAAAGAUUUCCGUGGAGAGGACCACUAUGAGUUUAUAGUAAUUUUUGACGCCCUUCCUUUUGGUGGGG
ensembl:snRNA U5 U5 spliceosomal RNA